rnacentral:lncRNA from 1 species
UGCUUUAUGAUCUUGACCUCUCUCUCAAGCAGAAAAGAAAGAAUGGCAUCUAAGUUUCCCUUUUUGGGUGCACAGGUUGCUAUAUUGUAGAAAAAUGAAGAAUUGAAUAGGGUGACAGAAGGAAAAGGACUAACAUUAUUAAGUAACAAGGAUAUAAUCAUACAGAAAUCAAUAUAAUGUUAGUGAAAUGGCAGUCAGUUCCAUAUCAAUAAAUGUAUAUCAGUGCUUACCAACAAUAACCAAGUUCUUUAUUCCUGCAGUUUUCAGGACAGAAUCAAGGUGCGU